rnacentral:rRNA from 1 species
CCUACGGGAGGCUGCAGUGGGGAAUAUUGCACAAUGGGGGAAACCCUGAUGCAGCGACGCCGCGUGAGUGAAGAAGUAUUUCGGUAUGUAAAGCUCUAUCAGCAGGGAAGAAAAUGACGGUACCUGAUUAAGAAGCCCCGGCUAACUACGUGCCAGCAGCCGCGGUAAUACGUAGGGGGCAAGCGUUAUCCGGAUUUACUGGGUGGAAAGGGAGCGUAGACGGCAGUACAAGUCUGGAGUGAAAUGCCGGGGCUUAACCCCGGAACUGCUUUGGAAACUGGCCAGCUAGAGUGCAGGAGAGGUAAGUGGAAUUCCUAGUGUAGCGGUGAAAUGCGUAGAUAUUAGGAGGAACACCAGUGGCGAAGGCGACUUACUGGACUGUAACUGACGUUGAGGCUCGAAAGCGUGGGGAGCAAACAGGAUUAGAUACCCGUGUAGUC